GUUUUAUUUAUUGGGGUCCCUGUGGUUCAAGGAACUUAUUUGCAGUCGUUUUUUCCUUUGCACACUAAGCGAAGUAAGGGAGCGAGAUAAGGACUGAGGGAGGAAGAGAGAGACUGAGAGUCUAAAAGAGGCAGGCAGGGAGGGAGGGAGGUGGUGGGGGAUGGAGCAUGCUGGCAGCUCUGAGCUGACAUUCAUGAACAACUGAGCAGCUUUGUGUCAGAGGAAAGAGGAUUGGAAGACAGGACAGGAAGGGGCUGCAGGGAGGGAAGCCACGAGACAAGGAAGUCGGCUUCUCCAGCCAUAUUUCGGUUCCAAUGCAGCUGCUCACCUGUCGGACGGCUGGGUGAAAGUCUCUCUAUACGGGAUGACAAUCAACACAUGAAUGUGGAGGUAAUGUAUACGCUCCUGCGGCCUUCAUCUGUCAAAGGAUCACGGAGCGAGGAAAGAAGGCGGCCUGGUGUGAUGAACGUUGCUUUCUUUUACAUCGUGUCUGUAGUUUUAUGAAAGAUGCCCGUGGUGUGGGCAAUCUUGGGUUCUGCCAUACAGGUGGAUGUUACACGGACACACGCCGCAUUCCUUCAGCAGUGUCAAAGAUAAUAUUUACACUUUCAUUGAAACAUCAUCCCCUGAUGGCUGGAGCCUCUGCCUUGCCGGAUGAUGCCAUAAAGUCAAAACGGGUUAGUGAAGGUUUGAGGAGCACACAGCAACACGUUUGGGGUGUUUACUUGGCUUCCAAAUUUGCCCGCAUCUUAAUCUUACUGAGCAUCUGUGGGAUGAGCAGGACGAACGAGUUUGAUCCGCCGGUGCUCAACCUAGCAACCUACAGGGCUUAAAUGAUCUGCUGAUAACAUCUUGGUGCCAGAUACCACAACACACCUUCGGGUCUCUAGUGGAGUUCACGCCUUUUUUGGGUCAGGGUGGGCUCAGCAGCAGCAGGGGCACGGACUACCAUGCUGGUGGUGAUCAAGUUCUCUCCAAUCAGUGUAUAUACCCUGUGUUUUAUGAGUAACAGACUCAU